rnacentral:rRNA from 1 species
GGCGGACGGGUGAGUAACACGUGGGUAACCUGCCCAAGAGACUGGGAUAACACCUGGAAACAGAUGCUAAUACCGGAUAACAACACUAGACGCAUGUCUAGAGUUUGAAAGAUGGUUCUGCUAUCACUCUUGGAUGGACCUGCGGUGCAUUAGCUAGUUGGUAAGGUAACGGCUUACCAAGGCAAUGAUGCAUAGCCGAGUUGAGAGACUGAUCGGCCACAUUGGGACUGAGACACGGCCCAAACUCCUACGGGAGGCAGCAGUAGGGAAUCUUCCACAAUGGACGAAAGUCUGAUGGAGCAACGCCGCGUGAGUGAAGAAGGGUUUCGGCUCGUAAAGCUCUGUUGGUAGUGAAGAAAGAUAGAGGUAGUAACUGGCCUUUAUUUGACGGUAAUUACUUAGAAAGUCACGGCUAACUACGUGCCAGUAGCCGCGGUAAUACGUAGGUGGCAAGCGUUGUCCGGAUUUAUUGGGCGUAAAGCGAGUGCAGGCGGUUCAAUAAGUCUGAUGUGAAAGCCUUCGGCUCAACCGGAGAAUUGCAUCAGAAACUGUUGAACUUGAGUGCAGAAGAGGAGAGUGGAACUCCAUGUGUAGCGGUGGAAUGCGUAGAUAUAUGGAAGAACACCAGUGGCGAAGGCGGCUCUCUGGUCUGCAACUGACGCUGAGGCUCGAAAGCAUGGGUAGCGAACAGGAUUAGAUACCCUGGUAGUCCAUGCCGUAAACGAUGAGUGCUAAGUGUUGGGAGGUUUCCGCCUCUCAGUGCUGCAGCUAACGC